AUCGGUGUACCAUGUCUUUAGAUCGACGAGGAACGGUGGGUAGAAAUUGACGGGGAGGCAGGUCUGGGCGUCGAUCAACGGCACUGCCAACGCGAUUGCGACGAAGAAUACAAACAGUAUUGCAUCUAUUAACUUUACAAAAGCUCCCAUUUUUAAUUUUAAUCUCUGAUGUGAUUUCUGAUGGGGUAAGUGAGUGAAAGAGUGAAAAGGGGAUCUUCCAAGAACAUUGUCCUUGACUUCUUACAUAUAAGGGAGUACCGGUUUGAAACGACACGUCGUCGUUUUGGAUGGGAUCGGUUUAUUGUUCUCUUAUUUUUUUAUUUUUAAUUUUUUUUUAUACUUUGUUUAGUUUUUAUAUUAUAUUUAUUUGAUUCAAGGGCUAAAAAAGUACAAAUUAGUGAGGUAAAAAUAGUAAUGGUAAGGAUACCACUAUUUGGGUCUCAAAUUAAGCCUCAACUGAUGUAGUAUUGCCACAUCAACUAUAUCAUUAAUAUUUAUUAGUUUUAGAUUAAUUAUAAUUUUACCCCUCUAUUACAUGAAUUUACUUCUCUAUUAUAUGAAUUUUAUUUUUCACCUCCAACAAAUCUCAGCUUACAAUAUCCCUAAUAUUCCCAUAAAACCUAGCCGCAAUCCAAACUUAUUCAACAAAUAGAAUUCUAAGAUUUUUUUUUUUUAAGUUAUGAUGCUUGCUAAUGUAUAAUCUUUUAUAUGCUUUAUAGGUUGUUUCAGUUCUACAAAUUGUAUGAAAAACUGGUGGGGCUUGAAGUUAUCAAAAGAACCUCACAUAAAGAUGAUCAAAGGGUAUUGAAAUUUUUGUUAGGUUGAUUCUUAAACUACCACUUUAGGUACUGCUUAAUUCUUUUAUCAUUCUAAUUUAUGCAUGUAUUUUUAUUUUAGAUUUUAUUUUCAGACCUUAAAUUCAUGUUUUUGAUAACAAAUAAUUAAAUAUUUUUGGUUAAGAUUCAAUGUGUUGCUGAAAUAUUUCAUAUUAUUUGUUUUGGACUUUUUACUUCUCUGAACUUUUGAAAGUGAAAAAUGUAUCCUAAUUCAGUUUAAUUAUGUUGCUAAUAAAAUAACUUUUAUCAUUUGAUAACAUGGUCCAUUGGUUGCUGACAAACUAAGCUGAAACUAUAAUUUAUAGGAUUAAAAAAAAAAUUGUUUCUCAUUUCAUCUUUCAAUAUAAAUGGUGGUUAUGGUUGCAACUUUUAGUUUCUUCCAUUGUGAUUGAAUUAUAUUCUCUCACUUGUUUUCCCUCAAAAUCUAGAAUUGUACCUCUUGAUUAUGCACUAGAAUUUAAAGCUAGAAUUGUGCAUUAGGAAAAAUAAUUUCAAUUGCCUUUUGCAUAGCCUCUUGAUUCUAUUUAUUGAAUAAGAUUCUACAAUUGUGCAUAAUAAAGCGGUUAUAAAGACUUUGAAGCUAGGAUUGCACCUCUUGAUGUGCAUUAUCUUGCUUUAACAUUUUUUUUUUUUUUAUCAUUCAUCACUAUCAUACAAUAUUCAACUUGGUAAUUUUUACAGGCACUGGAGAAGUACAAGUUUUCCUUAUGAUUGAAAAAUGCCAACAUUAUUUGGAUGUAAUGCUUCUAGUCAAUUGUUGUCAUGAGAAAUUAUUUUAAGAUUUGGCCUAUGCUACUUUUGAUGUUAUUUCACUGGAUCUAGCAUAUUAAUGUCUUCAUUGUAAUUGUGUUGGAGGUGUUUAGUUAUCAACUUUUAACACCAAGUCCUGUAUUUCCUACGUACUCUUGGGAUUUAAUUCAUUUUUUUAUUACUUAACAUUUGUUGGCUA
rnacentral:lncRNA from 1 species